UUUCCCUGUAGGAAGUUGGAAUUACAUCACACUCGAAAUGAGUGAGUUCUCGAGGAGAGAGUUUGAUUUGUCUUAGUAUUGGAGCUUGGAUCUGCAAGUUACACCACACUAAGAAUCGCCAGUGUCCUCAUUGCAAAAACCAUCAGAAUUUGUCUGACAAGUACAAAGAGAUCACAGAGUGACAAUUCUGAAAACCAGUGAAGUUCGCUGACUCUUUUUGUGCAGCCAAUUUGUCAAGACUCCAACAUGAGACAAGUCUGCAGUGGAAAAAUGAAACUGAAAAUUUGUGUCAGUCAUGUCAAGGCAGGUAAAAUAUGUAUUGUUUGUCUCCAAGAUUUUCAGAACUAUUUGAGAAUCCCAAUUUUGCUUUCAAAAGGAUUCAGAGGAUGAAACAUGGCCCAAUAAAUUUGUAUCACACCACUGCUUUUCAUCUCACAGCGGUGGCAUGCCAAUCAGAGCGAUCUCGACAGACUGGAGGGCAUGGAGCGGAGCAAGCAUACCGAGGCGUUACCGUGACACCCCCCCAACCUUAUCCUCCCACACACAUACAGGACAGCCGCCUGAUAAGAAUGCACCUCUCCAGAAUAACAAGGAGACGCAGCAAUGUGAUACUGGCACCAUCUCAAAUGAACAUCGAGGAACGAAGAAAAAGACAAAAACAAAGAGGUCUUUUAGUGCGAGUCAUCCAACAGAUGGCUGGAACCUUUCGAAAACGCCGUUCUAUGUUACCUCUGCUGGCCUUGGCAGUUUGGUGCAAUUCCUCUGAAGGGGACACUCUAAAUUCAUGAAACAGGAGAAGAAAGGAAAAAUGUCCUCAAAGUCAGAUUCAGUUGAAUACAUGAAUAAUUUAGAGCACUGAAAGAUUUGCGGCCCUUAAAUCACAAAAAACAGGGAUUCAUUAUUCAUCUGUUUCAAACUGGGAGAUAUUUUAUGCACAUCUUACACCAUGCUGAUGUUCUGAGUACAAAACAAAGCCUCUUGUCCUUCUGGAAAA